rnacentral:misc_RNA from 1 species
GAUGAAGAACGUAGUGAAAUGCGAUAAGUAGUGUGAAUUGCAGAAUUCAGUGAAUCAUCGAAUCUUUGAACGCACAUUGCGCUCCCUGGUAUUCCGGAGAGCAUGCCCGUUUCAGAAUCACGUUUUCAAACUCUCACCAAAUUCCCGUGUCUCGCACAUGGGAGGACGGUUAGGAUGCUGGACAGAUUGAGUGGUGGUAUCCGCCCAAUUGUCUGAAAGUCAUUGUCCAAAUGGUCGCAGUGGUUUGUGAGGCCCACGGUCACAAGGUGCAACAGAUGCUUGUAGUCUUUUUUCACUUUGCUGUCGGAUCACGCCACGGGUUGUUAGGACCAGGCCCCUGCACGGUGGGACGUCCAGCCGAAGCUGCUUCCACCGAUCAUAUGGUCUGAAAUCGGGCAAGAAAACCCGCUGAACUUAAGCAUAUCAAUAAGCGGAGGA